rnacentral:rRNA from 1 species
AGCAGUAGCCACGGUAAUACGUAGGGGGCAAGCGUUAUCCGGAAUAACUGGGCGUAAAGGGUGCGCAGGUGGUUUAACAAGUUAGUGGUGAAAGGCAUAGGCUCAACCAAUGUAAGCCAUUAAAACUGUUUAACUUGAGUGCAGGAGAGGAAAGUGGAAUUCCUAGUGUAGCGGUGAAAUGCGAAGAUAUUAGGAGGAAUACCAGUGGCGAAGGCGACUUUCUGGACUGCAACUGACACUGAGGCACGAAAGCGUGGGGAGCAAACAGGAUUAGAUACCCCUGUAGUCCCUGUCUCUUAUACA